UACGAAGAGGGCUAGCGUUGCUCGGAAUCACUGGGCGUAAAGGGCGCGUAGGCGGCGUUUUAAGUCGGGGGUGAAAGCCUGUGGCUCAACCACAGAAUUGCCUUCGAUACUGGGACGCUUGAGUGUGGUAGAGGUUGGUGGAACUGCGAGUGUAGAGGUGAAAUUCGUAGAUAUUCGCAAGAACACCGGUGGCGAAGGCGGCCAACUGGACCAUCACUGACGCUGAGGCGCGAAAGCGUGGGGAGCAAACAGG
rnacentral:rRNA from 1 species